rnacentral:lncRNA from 1 species
CCCAAUGAAUGUGAAGCUGUGGAAUGUAUUGUGUCUCCACCAUAACAUCCAUGCCCUCAGGAAGAAAGAUUUGAACAGCCAAGGAUGACCAAUAGCUGAGGCUUAAAGACCAGAGCACCUAUAAGCUUCUUAUCAACACAGCAACUCAGAGAGGUCAGACUUGUUGCUCAGGACUACAAGAGCAAGCAUUUGAGUGGCCAAGAGUGAAUCUGCCUGGCCUUUUAUGACCUGGGCCUGGAAA